CUCUCUGUAGCUCAGUUGGUAGAGCGGAGGACUGUAGAUCCUUAGGUCACUGGUUCGAAUCCGGUCGGAGAGA